CCUACGGGAGGCUGCAGUGGGAAUAUUGGACAAUGGGCGAAAGCCUGAUCCAGCCAUGCCGCGUGUGUGAAGAAGGCCUUCGGGUUGUAAAGCACUUUCAGUGGGGAAGAAAGCCUUGGGGCUAAUACCCUCGAGGAAGGACAUCACCCACAGAAGAAGCACCGGCUAACUCCGUGCCAGCAGCCGCGGUAAUACGGAGGGUGCGAGCGUUAAUCGGAAUUACUGGGCGUAAAGCGCGCGUAGGCGGUCUGAUAAGCCGGUUGUGAAAGCCCCGGGCUCAACCUGGGAACGGCAUCCGGAACUGUCAGGCUAGAGUGCAGGAGAGGAAGGUAGAAUUCCCGGUGUAGCGGUGAAAUGCGUAGAGAUCGGGAGGAAUACCAGUGGCGAAGGCGGCCUUCUGGACUGACACUGACGCUGAGGUGCGAAAGCGUGGGUAGCAAACAGGAUUAGAUACCCCGGUAGUC
rnacentral:rRNA from 1 species